CUGGUUUCAGAUAAGUUAGUUUUUGGGCACUGGGCACUGGACAGGGCCUGAGAAAGAUAAGGUUUAUACCAGUUUUACCCGCCAUUACGGUAACGGGGUUGGAGAGGUGAAUGCAUAGGCGAAAUCAUAGCAUUAGAUGAGGACCCAUGUGAAUUUGAGUUAAAAUAAUUUAUGUUUACUAAGUAUUUUAAGUAAAAUGCAUGAAUGUACACUAUGAUAUAAGAUAUGGCGUCAAUUAGUUGCAUACAAAAUGAAUAUUGAUUCAGCGUUUGAGUCAUUCAUAAAGUAAAGUUUCCAAUUUUUCUCUAUUUAAAGUGAUACAUUUACAUUUAUUGGCUGUUAGUCUGACAAAGCAUUAGAAUUAAUCACUUUGCCCUCUCUUAGCUUGUUAUGGGCAUUUUACAAUUUCUAUGACAUUACUCGCACUAAAAGAUUAAUCAGGGCUUCAAAGAUUCAUCAACAUCAGAAACUGUUCGCUGCAGCCCUAAGCGUCCGUGCCAGUCCAACAGCCCGGCUCCACUCUGCUAAUUCUUGAAUUGGUCAUGAUAACAGAUGGAAAAUGUAUGAUCAACAACGAGUGUGGGAUUCCUAGUGUGUGUGUGUGUGUGUGUGUGUGUGUGUGUGUGUGUGUGUGUGUGUGUGUGUGUGUGUGUGUGUGUGUGUGUGUGUGUGUGUGUGUGUGUGAGAGAGAGA